GGGUUGUGAGGACUGACCUGAAGGACCUUCCCUCCAUGAUAGUCAGGGUGGAAUCCAUCCUGAUAACACAGAUGCUCCUCUCCAUGCUGACUUGGGCAACGAAAGCCACUGCCUCGCCACGGGAGUGAGAGGAACUGACCUGAACAUCGCCUUCCUGCUUGCUGUAGGGAAAGCCUCUGCUGCUGGCCCUGCUGGAGAAAGUCUACCGUCUACGUCAUUGUGCACCAGUACCCAAGACGGCCAGGCAGCUGGGAACACAAGCCACCACAGGAAGUCUGCACCCACGCGGUCAUUCUCCAAAAUGGCGCAUCGAGUCGGUUGUUCCCUGAAUCCCCUGCAAAGCCUUCUCUCUGUGAUGGCCACGGUGGAAUCUAACAUAAUGGCACAGCCGCUGGCGAGUGUUGGAGUCUGACUACUCUCUGGCCCUGAGCUCGAGACUUCAGAUGAAGCCAGACAACCGAAUAUCUCCCCUGCUCCUCCCCGCGGUGCUUGCCUUGCCUUGCCUUGCCGAGUGUACAAGGUUGUGCACAACUAUAGCGACGGAAUGGAUCACAUUAUACACUUGGGUGCCGAUGAACACUGCUAUUACCCGACAUACUGGCCCGUCUCGUUGCUCGCCCCUGACCACUGCAACCAACACUGCCUUCGAUAGAGCCUUUGCUGCCACCAGGGGUGGGUGGGUGGAGCCUGGCCUGGACCUCCCCUUCAUGCUGUUCCUGCUGGAGAAAGUCUACCUCCCCUUAAUGAUCCUGCUGGAGAAAGUCUACCUUCCCUUCCUGGUGAAUUCAGUUUGAACUUCAACCCCUGCGUAUUCUAGGGCCCGGCGGUGACCGUCUUUAGAUUCAGUGACAUGCCCGAGUUCAGUUUGAACUUUAUCCCCUGCGUUUUCUAAGGCCCGGCGGUGACAGUCUUUAGAUUCAGUGACAUGUCUGAGUUCAGUUUGAACUUUAUCCCCUGCGUUUUCUAAGGCCCGGCGGUGACAGUCUUUAGAUUCAGUGACAUGUCUGAGUUCAGUUUGAACUUUAUCCCCUGCGUUUUCUAAGGCCCGGCGGUGACAGUCUUUAGAUUCAGUGACAUGUCUGAGUUCAGUUUGAACUUUAUCCCCUGCGUUUUCUAAGGCCCGGCGGUGACAGUCUUCAG